GCUUCGGUAGCCCAACUGGCAGAGGCAUAUGUUUCAGGAGCAUACCAGUGCGGGUUCGACUCCCGCCCGAAGCA
rnacentral:tRNA from 1 species